CCCUUAGAUGUUCUGGGCUGCACGCGCGCUACACUGAAGCGUUCAACGAGUAUUCACCUUGCCCGGGAGGGUUGGGUAAUCUUUUGAAAACGCUUCGUGAUGGGGAUAGAUUAUUGCAAUUAUUAAUCUUCAACGAGGAAUUCCUAGUAAGCGCGAGUCAUCAGCUCGUGCUGAUUACGUCCCUGCCCUUUGUACACACCGCCCGUCGCUCCUACCGAUUGAAUGAUCCGAUGAAUAUCAUGGAUUGAGGAUUAUAGCAGGUUCGCCUGUCUUGAUCUUCGAGAAGUGAAGUAAAUCUUAUCAUUUAGAGGAAGGAGAAGUCGUAACA
rnacentral:rRNA from 1 species